rnacentral:misc_RNA from 1 species
GAAAUGCGAUACGUAGUGUGAAUUGCAGAAUUCCGUGAACCAUCGAAUCUUUGAACGCACAUUGCGCCCCUUGGUAUUCCAUGGGGCAUGCCUGUUCGAGCGUCAUCUACACCCUCAAGCUCUGCUUGGUGUUGGGCGUCUUUGUCCCGCCUCCGCGCGCGGACUCGCCCCAAAUUCAUUGGCAGCGGUCCUUGCCUCCUCUCGCGCAGCACAUUGCGCUUCUCGAGGUGUUGCGGCCCGCGUCCAGAAAGCAAUCGUUACCGUCUUUGACCUCGGAUCAGGUAGGGAUACCCGCUGAACUUAAGC